rnacentral:misc_RNA from 1 species
UUUCCGUAGGUGAACCUGCGGAAGGAUCAUUCAUAAUAAAGUGUUUUAUGGCACUUUUUAAAAAUCCAUAUCCACCUUGUGUGCAAUGUUAGAUCUCGUCAAUCUUGGCGAGAUUUUUAUACAUCAACUCAUUCUUUAACUAAUUUGUCUGAAAAAUAUUACGAAUACUUAAUUCAAAAUACAACUUUCAACAACGGAUCUCUUGGCUCUCGCAUCAAUGAAGAACGCAGC